GGCCUCAGCCGGCGCACCUGGCGGAGGAGGAACCUCGCGACGCGCUCUCGGGCAUCGGUUUCUCCCAGCAAAGCUUGGAGGGUUUAGCUGCGCGGAGAGCUCAGCGAGCUCUUCUGUGUCUGUUUGGGGCGUGUGGGCUCCGGGAGCGUGAGGACCGGGAAGCUAGGAGGCUCCUUCCCUUCUGGCGGCUCCCUCACUGAGACCGGGCGGUUUGGUUGCGGGGGAAGUGGAGACGAGCCACCCUUGACCUUUGACUGCAAGAACUCACCUUGAGCAGGAUAGAGCAAACAUUGAGUGGGCCAGACACUGUUCUGAAAAAUACGCAGUCGACUUUUGAACAGCACAGGCUUGAACUGCAUGCGGCCACUAAUACUCGGACUUCCUUCUGCCUCUGCCAUCCCUAAGACAGCAAGACCCACCCCUCCUGCUCCUCAGCCUACUCGAUGUGAUGAUGAUGCAGAGAUUCAGAGAGUCUAAGCAACUUUUCUAAAUCAUCUAGCUGGAAUUCAGUAACUGAGCCAGGAUCUACCCCAGGUCUGUCUGACUCCAAAGCCUGUGUCUUCCAGCACACACUGCUGCUGCCUGGGGUAAGAGCUCAACAUUAUGCUUGGAAAAAGGAGCUUUUCUAUCUCAUUGUGGAGGGCUGGGAUGUCUCCCGUGUCCACGCUCCCUUCUUUCUUAGUAAUGGGCACGUUACUGCGUUCCCCAGCCUCUCUUGCAGCAAGGUGACCAAGUGAACACUUUCUGGCUAAUGAGAUGUACAUAGAAGUCUUGUGUAAUACUUCUGGGAAGCUUUCUGAAAGAGAGCGAAUACACUCUUCUCCCAUUUUCCUCAAAAACCUUCUAGCAGGAAUGUGGAUAUGAUGUCUGGAGCUCUAGCAACCAUAUCAGACCACAAGGAUGAAUGUACACCCCAGGAAUGGAAGAGAGGAAAGCCAGAAAAAGACUCGGUCCCUGAUGGCUGAAGAGCUACCAUACCUGCCCCUAGAUCUUCUAUUUCUGAUCAUCUUCUAUGCAAGGGAACCCAGAUGAAGAUGCUGCCCUCUGAGCAAUGGCCUGUGUCCAGCUCCUCUCUUCCUGAUCUUCUCAGGGCCAAGUCUACCCCGAGUUAAACUCUACUCUCCUUAAGGGCAAGAAUCCCAGCACAAAGCAUGAGCACCAGGCACACACUAAGCAACAAGGAAAUAUUUGGAGAAUUGAAUUGAAUGCUUUAAUUUCAGUUGGAUCAACAACCUUGUCCAAGGUCACACAGGGAGGCAAUAACAGAGCCCAUGACUGGAACCCAUGACUGGAACUCAUGAUUGUUGACUUUGGAUAUGAACCUUAAGUAGCACCUUCAGUGUCAAUUCUGAGAUUACUGUCACAUCCAAGCAUGGACAUGGAGAGUUCUGUUAUUCCUGGGAGGGGGCAGAGGGGCCGUGGCUUUGUACUUUGCAUUUUCAAUGCACCUUUGUCCCCUUUCUUUGGUCAUGAAAAGCAUGACCCAGCACCUUGUAUGUGUUGGAGGCUGGGCAAGACCAAGGGCACCUGGAGGGUGGAGGUCUGAGAUUUAUGGGAUACUUGAUCAUUUUCAAGAUUUUUUUUCAUUUGCUGUGGACUGAAUGCUUGUUUCCUCUCAAAAUAUGUAUAUAGAAGCCCUAAUCCCCCAUGGGGUGGUAUUUGGAGAUGGGGCCCAUGGGAGCUGGUUAAGGUUAGAUGAUGUCAUGGAGAUGGAACCCCCAUGAUAGAUUUUGCUCUUGCAAAAGGAGAAAAAGACAGGAUAGGUUUCUCUCCACUGAAUGAGGAUGCAACAAGAAGAUAGUCUGCAAACCAGAAGAGCACUCUCAGCAGACACCAAAUCUGCUAGUACCCUGAUCUUGGACUUCCCAGUGUCCAGAGCUGUGAGAAAUGUUCAUUGUCUAAGCCACCCAGUCUAUGGUAUUUUGUUAUAGCGUCCAAAUAGACUAAGACACAUGAUGUAAGUGUUUCCUAAAGUAGCAUUGCACUGGGGGCAACCAGUGUAACAUGGUUGGUGAUAUGUGAAUGAACCUUUUAAAAUGUUAAUACUUUUGCAUUUAUUUUAAUAUGUGUUAAAAAUAUUUCUGGUGUAUUAUAUCAGAAAUAGUUUUCAC
ensembl:lncRNA STX18-AS1 STX18 antisense RNA 1 (head to head)